rnacentral:rRNA from 1 species
AGCGAACGCUGGCGGCAGGCUUAACACAUGCAAGUCGAGCGGGCAUCUUCGGAUGUCAGCGGCAGACGGGUAAGUAACACGUGGGAACGUACCCUUCGGUUCGGAACAACUCUGGGAAACUGGAGCUAAUACCGGAUACGCCCUUAUGGGGAAAGGUUUACUGCCGAAGGAUCGGCCCGCGUCUGAUUAGCUAGUUGGUGGGGUAACGGCCUACCAAGGCGACGAUCAGUAGCUGGUCUGAGAGGAUGAUCAGCCACACUGGGACUGAGACACGGCACAGACUCCUACGGGAGGCAGGAGUGGGGAAUAUUGGACAAUGGGCGCAAGCCUGAUCCAGCCAUGCCGCGUGAGUGAUGAAGGCCUUAGGGUUGUAAAGCUCUUUUGUCCGGGACGAUAAUGACGGUACCGGAAGAAUAAGCCCCGGCUAACUUCGUG